AACCUGUGAUGAAAAUGAUUCUGCCAAAUGAUAAACAUGAUUUAUCCCUAACCGUUCCAUUUUUUUCUGAGAGC
rfam:Xenopus laevis strain J chromosome 4S, whole genome shotgun sequence.